UGUACCUUAUGAAUAAGGAUCGGCUAACUCCGUGCCAGCAGCCGCGGUAAUACGGAGGAUCCGAGCGUUAUCCGGAUUUAUUGGGUUUAAAGGGUGCGUAGGCGGCCUUUUAAGUCAGCGGUGAAAGUCUGUGGCUCAACCAUAGAAUUGUCGUUGAAACUGGGGGGCUUGAGUAUGUUUGAGGCAGGCGGAAUGCGUGGUGUAGCGGUGAAAUGCAUAGAUAUCACGCAGAACCCCGAUUGCGAAGGCAGCCUGCCAAGCCAUUACUGACGCUGAUGCACGAAAGCGUGGGGAUCAAACAGGAUUAGAUACCCUGGUAGUCCACGCAGUAAACGAUGAUCAUUAGCUGUUUGCGAUACACUGUAAGCGGCACAGCGAAAGCGUUAAGUGAUCCACCUGGGGA
rnacentral:rRNA from 1 species